rnacentral:rRNA from 1 species
AACGAACGCUGGCGGCAGGACUUAACACAUGCAAGUCGAACGGUUGUAGCAAUACAGCAGUGGCAGACGGGUGAGUAACACGUGGGAACCUUCCUAGGGGGUACGGAACAACUCAGGGAAACUUGAGCUAAUACCGUAUACGUCCGUGAGGAGAAAGAUUUAUCGCCCUUAGACGGGCCCGCGUCGGAUUAGCUAGUUGGUGGGUAACGGCCUACCAAGGCGACGAUCCGUAGCUGAUCUUAGAGGAUGAUCAGCCACACUGGGACUGAGACACGGCCCAGACUCCUACGGGAGGCAGCAGUGGGGAAUCUUGGACAAUGGGCGCAAGCCUGAUCCAGCCAUGCCGCGUGAGUGAAGAAGGUCUUCGGAUUGUAAAGCUCUUUUGCCAGGGACGAUAAUGACGGUACCUGGAGAAUAAGCCCCGGCAAACUUCGUGCCAGCAGCCGCGGUAAU